GCACUCAGCUGUCUGUCUGCGAUCUGCCAGAUGCUCAGUACCGUCUGUGCAUGUGGAGAAGAGAGGCAUGAUGGCGAUGCAGUGACAGAGGGCUCAGCAGAGUCAGAAGAAGGUGUUAAACUCUCAGUGGAGGAGACUGAACCAGCAGGGACCCAAAGCUCAGUGCAUCCCUUCUUCUCCACACAGCCAUGAAAGACA